ACACCGUUGGUAAAGUGGUUAUCAUGCUUGCCUUCCAUUCGGCAAACAGCAAGCGGCUCGGGUUCGAUUCCCGAACGAUGUA